GCUGCUGGUGUACUGUGUAUCAGUGCCAAAUGUGGGAUGUAUGUCUGUAUGUGUUUACAGUAUUGUCCGUAUUGCAGUCGUUCGGUUUAAAAAAAGGCAUUAAACAUGAUUUGUGUAGAACAGGUGUUCAUGAGACAUUCCUGUUUUUACAUCAGACAGUGAUGCAUUUUCUACAGACACAGAAUGCCUGUGGAAGGGCCACUACAAGGAGCAAGGAGUGAGCAUGAAAAUGGUCCAUGUUCAAUGAGCCUUGUACACAUCCACACAGUUACAUGCCUUGUAGACUAGACCCUUCUGCUAGCUAUAAGAGGAAGUGGGCGCAGUAUUCUCUGUAUGGACAGCAUGGCAGAGACCACAAAAAAAAUGAGGAAGACGUUGUCGGAGGAUAAGAGGAGAAAAAGAGGGCGUAUAUAACCAAGCAAGAGACAGAAAAAGAGUAGUUUUCGGACUGGCUUUCACUCGUUGACUAGUGAGCUAGUCUUAGGGAUACUUUUUUAUUGCCGUUUUUGGAAAACAAACAUAACAACUCAGAAAUGUUUACCAUCAUCAUAAAACACAUAACAGGGCAUUUACAAAACAUGAAGCACUUUUCCCACUGCGGAAUCUGUACAUCCAGCAGUUCAGGAUUUGAAAUAUCAUCCUGUAAAAUGUUAGGAAUGCACAUUCAACACCAUUAACAGUGGAGACUUACCAUACUGUUUCUGUUGCUGUGCUUUAACAGGUGUGAUACGGUUUUUACUUAUCUUUCUUAAUGUAUAUAUUACAUGCCUGUUCUUAUUUUGGCCUGUUUGAGAUAUGCUGGGAAUGAGCAUUAACAGUGGAGACUUACCAUACUGUUUCUGUUGGUGUGCUUUAACAGGAGUGAUACGAAAUAAAUAUCCAUCUCAGCAACUGUUGUACGAGUCACAUAUAUUAAUACACAACGCAGAAGUUACACCGGUUACAUAGACAUGCCGGAUAGAUUUGGCUAGUUUUCAUAAUAUGUCCCCUUUAAAUAACAUAAUAAUGGAAUUAAAUAUACACCAUGAAUCAACAUUGUUUUCUAAAUCUAUUUGUUAUGAAGGACAGGUUGUAAGAAUAUGUUAUUCAAAGACGUCUGAGGAUUUAAAUGUACUUUAUUGUUCAGAAUAAAGGUAGGCCUACAGUCACCUUCAGACUGACAGUGUUACCAUUGGAUGUUGUUCUUCUUUGUUCCUCAAGCCAGGACAAUAUGGCUUCAAAGUUUAAAUGGAGAACAUUGUUUAGUUUAGUAUAGUUUAAGUGUGACUAGAUUUAUGUGAGAAUCGAUGUGACCCAAAUUUGGAUAAAAAUGUCCAUCCGUUAUUGUCUACUAUUGUACCUUUAUCAACUUUGAGGACGAUCGAUUUGUCGUGUGAGAUUGAUAUGCAAGAUCUAACCUCCCAUCGAUUAAUAUUUGUGUGCAAUUAGUUGGGAAAGACACUAGAGGGCGGACAAAAUCUGCCUUUGUGUCUCCCCGAAGAAGACGGAAGGGCAUU
ensembl:lncRNA